UGAUGGUUUCAAGAAUAAACUAGGUCAAGGAGGAUAUGGUUCUGUGUUUAAAGGAAAACUUCGAAGUGGUCAACUUGUUGCGAUAAAAUUGUUAAACAAGUCAAAAGCUAACGGCCAAGAUUUCAUCAAUGAAGUUGCAACUAUUGGAAGGAUUCAUCAUGUUAAUGUGGUAAGACUUAUUGGAUUUUUCGUAAAGGGAUCAAAACAAGCUCUUGUAUAUGACUUCAUGAAGAAUGGGUCCUUGGAUAAAAUUAUAUUUUCAGCUGAAAAUAACACUUUGAGUUGGCAAAAAAUGUUUGAGAUUGCAUUGGGAGUGGCUCGAGGUAUUGAAUAUUUGCAUAGAGGUUGUGAAAUGCAAAUUUUACAUUCUGAUAUCAAUCCACAUAACAUUCUUUAAGAUGAGAACUUUGCUCCAAAGGUUUCAGAUUUUGGUCUCGCAAAGUUGUAUUCAGUGGACGAUGAUAUCAUUUCUCUCACAGCAGCAAGAGGUACAGUAGGAUAUAUGGCUCCUGAAUUAUUUUAUAAAAAUAUCGGAGGUAUCUCAUAUAAAGCCGAUGUUUAUAGUUUUGGAAUGAUGCUAAUGGAAAUUAUUGGAAGGAGAAAAAAUUUGAAUGCCUCUGCUGAAUAUUCAAGUCAAAUUUAUUUUCCAUCAUGGAUAUAUGAUGGAUUAGAUGAAGGAGAUAUCAUGGAGCUUGGAGAUUUGAAAGAAAAUGAAAACAAAAUUAUGAGGAAAAUGGCAAUAGCAGCCUUAUGGUGCAUACAGAUGAAGCCCACGGAUCGGCCUUCAAUGAACAAAGCCUUGAAGAUGCUUGAAAGUGAAGUUGAGAUCCUUGAAAUGCCUCCCAAGCCUUCUUUCUCUCUAAAUGUCAACUAAAGGUAGUAAAGAAUUCUCCCCGCACACGUGGCAAUCGGCCUUCCUCAGCUACCUCGUGAUCAUAUGUAUACAUGCACGUCAAUGUAGGGUCAUGUGUAUCUCUUAAAUUGCAGGAUGAAGAUGAAUUCUUCGGUUUACAUUGAUGCUUUCCAUUGCACCAAUCGAUGUUCCUCUCCAGGUUAUUUUGUUUCUUCAGUCAAAUUAUUGUCUGGUUAACAACUAAUGGAAAUGUAAGGACAGAAUAUUAACGUGAUAUGUUACAUAAUUUAUACUAUAAUAUUUUAUCAUUGUUAACGGCACAAUUUGAUAAAAAGAUAAAAAAGAAGUCAUUUUAUUAUAUUAUGUGUAAAAUACAUGAAAAAAAAAGAUUACAAAUUUUAUUUGAUUACAUUACUGCAGAACUUACAAAAAUAAUUAUAGAAGCAUGGCUAAUGAUUAUAGGUAUUAUUUGAAUAGAUAUUUUUCUCAUUUUUCUUGUUUGACUGGUUGCAACUUGUCUUCAAAUUUUGAUAUCCACCAAAAAACUAUCCAAGAGCUUGAUUGUUUUAGAUAGUCAUUCAACAGCUUGACUGACUUUAUAUUUGUCUGUGCAACAAAUUUGAAUUUUUUUUUUAAAAAAGUCAAUAUUGAAUUUUAGACAUGCAUAAAUAGCAUAAUUUUUUAUUAUGCAGUGAAAAUAUAUGUAUAAAGUAUGAGGAAAGAUCUACUUAUACCGGUAUAAAAUUAAAUUAGUUUUACACUUUUUCAUGUCUUUUUAUUUCAUUUAUAUUUUGUUAAUCUAACCGUUCAUUUUAUGUUAUAUUCAUAUAAAUAUUCAUAGAUAGCAAAUUUCAAGUUAAUUGGAAAUGACUAACUACAUAUUUGAGAAAAAUAAAAUUUCAAUCAUUAAAUAUAUAUUGAAAAAAGGCAUUAUUCUCGGUUGAUGUAAUAAGAAUGUUGAAUUAAUAUGAGACUUUACGUGUAUGAUAAAUGCGAAUAAGUUGUUAAAUGUAAUGAUUCUAUUUGUUAAAAUAUUAAUUCCCUAAGAAGUUAUAGAAAAAUGUAAAGUACUUAGUUUUAGAGAUACAAGGCGAUUCCUCUUGGCCGGUAUAAAGUAUUGCUAUUUAGGCUUUUGUGUGCAAUUUUUUUUCAUAGCUAAUUGUUGUUGAAAAUGUGCAAUCUUUACUACUGUAUGCAUGUAAUAUUUUUGUCCAAAAUAUUAGCAAAAAAAAUGUUUUGAACUGUGAACUCCGUAAAAGUUCUAUACAAAAGGAUUUUAAACAACACUAGUUAAAGAAAAUAAAUAAAUAAAUGCAAAUUUAAUUAUUAUAGUGUGUUUUUUCCACUUGUUCAAAGUAAGAUUUGAUUUCAAUUGCAGCCCUAGAUAUAAUCAGCAAAGCAAUGAAGAUAACAUUAUCCAAAGAUUUAAUGUUUCUCGUUAAACUUUUUUAUAUAUAAUUCUCCAAAGAAAAAUACAGUUUUAUACUUAAAAAAUAAAUGUAAAAUAUGAAAUUGAUCAAAUUUUUUCAGAAUUAUUAUUUUAUAUAUCUUGAAAUUUUGAAAUUCCAAAAUUUAUAAUAUUGUUUAAGUCAUAUUAUAUAUAUUAUUGAGGGUUUAUAGUAAUAUCCCUACUGUGUAGAUUUACUUGGAUGAAUUGCAAAGAUUUCUUUUCCAUCAGUUCCGCUACGUACCAAUUGGCUGGGUACACGGAUUUUCUUCUUUCUUGUUUGUUUGCGUGGAAAAUCAUCAAAGAGCUCUAUGACAGGCUUGUCGUUAAAAGUGUUUUGCUGGCUGGCUUUAAUUAGUUGACUGACUUUUCAAAAGAAGACUUGGUUUUAACAAUAAAUGUAAGCACUGCUUCGCUUGCCUGUAUCAAAACUAGAACCUUGAUCUCCCACUGAAACUUUGGGAUGCUUUACGUCAUACUUCCAUUACUUUGCCUUUUGGCUUUUGCUUCAUUUCUAUUCCCCGAUCCAGGCCGCGUUACAGAAAAAUACAAGCACUGUGGUUCUUCUUUAUGUGGAAACAUUAACAUCACUUACCCUUUGCGAUUAAAAACCCAGUCUCAUAGGUGUGGUUACAAGGAGCUUGAACUAGUGUGCCAGAAUAACCGUACUAUUUUCCCCAUGAAACAUGGGAAUUUCUAUGUCCAACACAUCUCUUAUAGUGACGAAACCAUUCAACUUUUAGACGAGAGUCUUGGCAACGAUAACUGCUCCAUUCCUCAUAGUUCCUAUCCUUGGUACACCCCUUUCUCGAAAAAAAUAUAUCUCUAUGGAACCACCUCUGAAUAUAGCAUCAUGUGUCUCGUCAAUUGCACGAUGCAAAUCAACUACUCUUCCGUUUAUAUCGAUGCUUUUCGUUGCACCAACAAUACCCCUUCCUCUCGACCUGCUUACUUUUACUUUUUGGAUGGAAAUACAACAGCGUCUGAUUUCGAUGAGUCAUGCAGAGUUGAAGCCCAGGUUCCAAUCAUGCUUGCCAACAUCACCGGCCGCUCUACUUUUGAUAUUUACACAAAGCUGUUAACGGGAUUCCAACUCUCAUGGUCAACUUCCUAUUAUGAUUAUGUUUGGCUGUCGUGGGACUCAAUCGUUAACGUGUGAGGAUUUUUAAGUAUUCCGCAAUAUUUGGUGUUGUUUAGUUUUUGAAAAAUAUUUGUUAUUACUAUUAUUUUUUGGAUCGUAAUAUUUAUUAUUUUUAGCAUAAAUAAAUAUGAUAAAUAAACAAAUAUCAAAAUAUUUAGUUUUGAAUUCUUUUAAAUUACUUUUUUAAUUAUGUGUAUAAAUUUGUAUCUAAAAUUUAAACUCGAUAUUUUAAUGUAAAAUUUAAAGAGAAGGAUUUAAAAAAUUUUCAACACUAAAAGUGCGCAUAUCAUUUGCCUUAUUAAGGAUUAAUGGUUUUGAUGUGCUUUUUUGAAUAUUAAUUAUAGAUUUCUAUCCUUGCUCGGCCUGUUGGUGCUUCCGCUGGAGAUACUUAUAGUAGGCAACAUAGCUUUUUUUGGACGAUAUCAUAUCAAUGGAUUUAGUAAAGGUAUUCUUUCGGUUCUGAGUUCAUUAAUAUUUUGAUUAUUAUUGGAUUUGCCUUUACUUUGAUAGUAUCUAUGUUCAUUUAUUUUCCGAAUUGGUAAUAUCUUUGCAGGAAUCCAGAUUCUUUGUGUUGCAAUAACAGGUACUAAAUUCUAUACUUAUUUAUUUACUCUUAAAUUCUACAAUUAUUAUAAUGUAUGACAUCAAUAAAUAUAUUAUUAUAUAAAUGAAUCAAAAAAUUAUUAAAUUAUUUAAAAAAUUCCUAAACUAUUUUAAAGAAAUUCAAAUAAGCUUUUCUUAAUUUUUAUUACAUUCAAUCAAGCUAUUAUAUUUUUAUUUUGAACCAAAUAAACCCUUCUAAAUAAUAGUUAACUAAUGUUAUUAGUUCAAAUGUCACUUAUUAUUUUAUACUUAUGUGACAUUGAUAUGAUGCUGACAAGGAGGAUGAAAAUACCACGUAACCAUGUCAUAAUGCCAUAUACUAUGACAUGUCAACAUAAUAUAUCAAUGUCUUGUGACUUAAAAUAACAAAUGGUAUUUUAAUUAAUAACAGUUAGUUAUCCAUUAGUUAUAAUAGCUUAUUUGAUUCAAAAUAAAUGUUUAAGAGCUUGAUCAUACACAAUAAAAGAAUAAGAGUUUAUUUAAAAUUUUCUAAAUAGCUCAGGAAAUUUUUUUAAGUAUUAUGCAUGUAUGUGUGUGUGUGUGUAUGUGUAUAUACCAGUGUGAAAUUAAUUAAAUUUACACCUUUUCAUAUUUUUUAUAAGAUUUCUAUUUUGUUAAUUUAACCGUUGUAUUCCAUAUGUACUCAAUUUACAUAGAUCAUGCAUAAAAAAUUUUAAAUCAAUUGAAAAUAUCUAAUUAUUUGUAUAAUAAUAAUAAAAUUUUAACCGUUAAAUAUAUAUUUAAAAAACAAUAUUCUCUACCAAUGUGAUAUGGAUAUGGCACUGACUUGAAACUUUAUAUGUACUAUUGGAUGCAAAUAAAGUUAGCUUGCUAAAACUUAAUUGUAUAUGAAAUUAUAAAAUGGUGUAUAUAUAUAUAUAUAUAUAUGAGUAUUGCAUAUAUGUAUAUGUAUGUAUAAAGAGAUUCAAUAAAGGAUUAAAUAAGAGAAGAUCUACUAUAAAUGAUUCGUAAAUAAUAUUGAACUACAUUAAUUAGGGUUUUUUAGUGAGGUAUUUUAAUGUUGUUACAAUGUUUUUUGGUCAAGAUAAAAAUUAUGUCCAAAUUUAGCAUUUUACUUUAGACCAAAUUAUGAUCAUAUUUAAAUGAGAAUAAUUGGCACUUUACUUUUAAAUUGAUUAAAAAUGAUCAAAAGUUAUGAAAUAAACUAAAAAGUACACUCAUUCAAAAAAGAAUAGUAAAUUUAAUCCAUCAUUUUUUUAAAAGGUGAAUUUUUAUUAACCUCAACACUAUCAUGCCAUUUUGAGUCUCAAACAUAGAUUGCAAGAGACUCUCACGGCAUAAAUAGUUAGUGAGCAGCCUGUACAAUUUCCAAAAAGAAUAUGCUACUCAACAAGAUUUUGGUAGCAACUCAGGAUAAAGAAACUAACGUACCUUAAGUAGAUUGGUAAAUUUGAACCUAAUCUCAAAUUAUUCUAUGAAGUUUGUUUGUGAAAAUAUGGCAGCUAGCACAUACCCAAAUUAAAGUUGUAAAUAACAUAUACAUGUUCUAUAAUCAUGUUUUCCAACUAAUUGAUUUACAUAUUGUUUUGUAACUUUUUUUUUUGAAACAGGAAUUCUUUUACUAAGAACUUUUUUGGGAAUAAUUUGCUUGAUUGUGUUGGUUAGACAAAAAUUGAAAAGGAGGCAUUUGUCUGUGGAUGACGAUAUUGAGAAUUUUCUUCAGAGUCAAAACAAUUUAAUGCCUAUCAGAUAUUCUUACUCUGAAAUAAAAAGAAUGACUGAUGGCUUCAAGAAUAAACUAGGUCAAGGAGGAUAUGGUUCUGUGUUUAAAGGAAAACUUCGAAGUGGUCAACUUGUUGCGAUAAAAUUGUUAAACAACUCAAAAGCUAACGGCCAAGAUUUCAUCAAUGAAGUUGCAACUAUUGGAAGGAUUCAUCAUGUUAAUGUGGUAAGACUUAUUGGAUUUUGCGUGAAGGGAUCAAAACAAGCUCUUGUAUAUGACUUCAUGAAGAAUGGGUCCUUGGAUAAAAUUAUAUUUUCAGCUGAAAAUAACACUUUGAGUUGGCAAAAAAUGUUUGAGAUUGCUUUGGGAGUGGCUCGAGGUAUUGAAUAUUUGCAUAGAGGUUGUGAAAUGCAAAUUUUACAUUUUGAUAUCAAGCCACAUAACAUUCUUCUAGAUGAGAACUUUACUCCAAAAGUUUCAGAUUUUGGCCUCGCAAAGUUGUAUUCAGUGGAUAAUGAUAUUAUUUCUCUCACAGCAGCACGAGGUACAGUAGGAUAUAUGGCUCCUGAAUUGUUUUAUAAAAAUCUCGGAGGUAUCUCAUAUAAAGCCGAUGUUUAUAGUUUUGGAAUGAUGCUAAUGGAAAUUACUGGAAGAAGAAAAAAAUUUGAAUGCCUCUGCUGAACAAUCAAGUCAAAUUUAUUUUCCAUCAUGGAUUUAUGAUCGAUUAGAUGAAGGAGAUAUCAUGGAGCUUGGAGAUUUGACAGAAAAUGAAAACAAAAUUAUGAGGAAAAUGGUAAUAGUAGCCUUAUGGUGCAUACAGAUGAAGCCCACUGAUCGUCCUUCCAUGAGCAAAGUCUUGAAUAUGCUUGAAAGUGAAGUUGAGCUCCUUGAAAUGCCUCCCAAGCCUUCUUUCUCUGGAAAUGUCAACUAAAUAUAGUAAGAAUUCUCCCCGCACACGUGGCAAUCGGCCUUCCUCAGUUAUCUCGUGAUAUUUGUCAUUGGGACACCACUCAACAUUGUGAUCUUGCUAAAUCUGACAACUUCUUCUGUAUUUAGUUUUUUGAAUGGUACGUAGUUUUUGUUUCCACCUAGAUCUAGUAGGCAGUGUUUGUAUUUUCUCUACUACCUUGGUUUGUUUUGUUUCUGCUACUUCUCUAUUGCCCUGUAUGUGACCUCUGAUGGAAUAAAUCAUUUCCUCACUUGUAAAAAAAUUGCAAGAAAAUGUAAUUUUAUUUUUCCCUUAUUUUAUACUGUCAUCCCAAACUCGCAGCACAACAGACGCCACAUACCUGUAAGAUGUAAUCUUACAAACAUGCAAGGGUCCAAUACAUAUACCUUAAAACACUAACUGAAAGACACUAAAAUACCUGAAGAACAAAGUGAUUCAUAAUCGGUAGAAAUUCAAAAAUCAUAAUUCGACAAUAUUCAGAAUUAAGUCUCUAAAACUAUAAAGUUAACAUGUCAAGAUAAAACUCUGAAUACUAAUUUAAGAUAGUUUGAUGUUCAUAAUAUUUAAAUAAAUCCUAGACAACCUAAAUGCUAUUAGAUUAAAACAUCACUCCUUGAAAUUCUCACGUAGUUGACCAAAUCACAACCUAAAAAAAAAAUUGAAAGAAUGAGUGAGUCCAACUACUCGGUAAGUAACAAAUAUCUCACUUCGUACUACAAAAGCCCUCAAAUAUAUGACCAAAAAUGUUAUCGGAAUAUGGAGUUCCAAUGACCCAAAUUUGGAUUGUCAAAACAGUUGAAAACCAAGUUUCUAAUUAAUUUUAAAAAUUCAUAUUUUCUAAACCACAAAACUAAACUAGAUGCUACAAAAACCAUUGGAAAGAUCUUUUCAAGACCUUUCCAUUGGUAACCAUCAUGCCACCGAAAGGUCACCAGAAUAGUGCCGAAUUUGAAUAAAAGUUAAGAAAACAUAAAUAAUUUAGGGCUUUUGUGCCCAACUAUGGAAAUACAACCCUAAACAUACCUUAAUCAGAAAUCCCUUGAAUACUUUUCUCUUUUUUCUAUCUUUCUUCUUCUAUGGUGUUAAGCUUUUCUGACUACCUAUCGUUUGAGUCUGAUGAAAUAAACUGACAUGAGUUUUCUACCUUUUCUUUUAAACUUGUAAACUAACCUAACCUCCACUAUUUUUUUUUUAAACGUGGUUUAGUGAGUUGUGAUCAGGUAAAACAAAUUGACCUUAACCGCACUAACUUAAACAUGAUAAACAAAACUGACAUUAAUUAAACUUCUUUAUUUACUUAAAGACCCCUUUUUCUAUUUUUUAAUUAUUAAGACACUCAAGGUUGUAACUGUAAUUAAAUAAAAUACUAAAACAACAUUUAUUUAUUUAUUUUAUAAAACUAUAGCCUAAUAAAUCUAAAUGUUUUUAUAAUAUAUACUUUGUGAGGGGUAUUACAUCCUUCCCUCCUUAAAAAGGAGUUUAGUUCCUUAAACUCUUACCUUGGUCCUCAAAAAGGCAGGGAUACUUCUUUUUUAUAUUUUUUCUAAAUCCCAAGUCGCUCCUCAUUCUGUAUGAUUACUUCAUUAGAUCUUAACAUAAGGAAUAGUUCGCCUUCUUAGAACUUGCUUCUUUCUAUCCACAACACACAUAGGAUGCUCAUCAUAAGACAAAUCUUCUCUAAGUAUCAAAGGAGCUAACCACACCACAUGACUAGGAUCUGGAACAUAUUUUCUCAACAAAGAAACAUGAAACAUGUUAUGCGCUCUCGAUAAAGCAGGUGGAAGUGCCAACCUAUAAGCCACAUCACCAACCUUAUCCAAAAUCUCAAACGAACCCAUAUAACAAGAACUAAGUUUUCCUCGAAUCCUAAAUUGCAUUACUCCUCUAGUAGGUGAAACUAGCAAAAAGACAUGAUCUCCAACCUCAAAUUCUAUCUUCCUUGUUUUAUUGUUUGCAUAACUCUUCUAUCUACUUUGAGCCGUACGAAGAUGUUCUCUAACUAACUGAACCUUCUCAACUGCUUGUUGAAUAAGAUCUAGACCCAAUAAUUGUCUUUCACCCACAUCAUCCCAACAAAGAGGUGACCUGCACUUCUUACCAUACAAAGCUUUGAAUGAAGCCAUUUGAAUACUAGACUGAUAGCUAUUAUUAUAAGCAAAUUCCGUCCAUGACAAGUGUCGAUCCCAAAAACCUCCAAAAUCCAUGACACAAGCUCUCAACAUGUCCUUAAGAAUUUGAUUAAUUGUCUCGGACUGACCAUCUGUUUGAACAUGAAAAGUAGUACUAAAAUUAAGUCUAGUACCCAAAGAUUUAUGUAGACUCUCUCAAAAUUUCACCACAAAUCGAGAAUCUUGAUCAUAUACAAUGGACACUAGCACCCCAUGCAGUCUCACAAUCUGCUCCACAUAUAACUCCACUAACUUUUCCAAUGACAUUUCCGUACGAAUAGCCAAGAAGUGAGCAGACUUUGUUAAUCUAUCAACAAUCACCUAGAUGCCAUCAUUACCUUUUAGUGUUCUCGGCAACCAGAUAUAAAGUCCAUAGUAAUUCGUUCCCAUUUCCAUUCUAGAAUAAGAAAUGGUUGCAAUAACUCUACUGGCCUCUGAUGUUCAACCUUAAUUUGUUGACAUGUUAAACAUUUGGCUAAAAACUGUGCAAUCUCUCUCUUCAUAUUGUUCCACCAAAAAGUGUUCUUCAAAUCUCGAUACAUCUUGGUACCACCAAGAUGGAUUGUAUAAUUACUAUAAUGAGCUUUCAACAAAAUUUCUCUCUUCAAUUUUGCAUCAUUGGGAACACAAAUUCUAUCACCAAACCUCAAAGAGUCAUCAUCAUGAAUCCUAAAGUCUGGUUUCAAACCAGAAUUAACCCUAAGUUUAAUGUGCUGAAGUCGAAGAUCAUCUACUUGGGCUGUCUUAAUCCGGUGAAUUAAAGUUGGUUGUACUCAUAUGUUAGCCAAUAAUGCUCCAAAACCCUGUAUACAUACACCAAUAUCCAUCCUCCGUAAGUCCUCCAAUAUCUGUUUUUGGGAAGUAAUCAUUGUGGCCAUGUUCCCAAACGUCUUUCUACUUAGAGCAUCAGCAACUCUAUUUGCCUUACUUGGGUGAUAAUUGAUGGUCAAGUCAUAAUCCUUCAACAAUUCUAACCAUCUUCUUUGUCACAUAUUCAACUCCUUCUGCGUGAUAAGAUACUUUAAACUUUUAUUAUCUGUAAAGACCUCACAAGACUCACCAUUCAAAUAAUGUCUCCAAAUCUUUAAUGCGAAACCACUACUGCCAACUUUAAAUCAUGAGUAAGAUAAUUCUCAUCAUAAGGUUUCAAUUGCUUAGAAGCAUAAGCGAUCACCUUAUCAUCCUGCAUAAGAACACACCCAAGUCCCUUUUUGGAAUCAUCACUAUAAACAACAAAUCCCUUACCACUAAUAGGCCUGGUAUGCAUAGGAGCGAAUACUAAUCUUUUCUUUAUCUCCUCAAAGCUCUUUUCAUAAUCAUUUGUCCACUCAAAACAAAUCCCUUUCCAUAUCAAUUUGGUUAAAAGUAAGGCAAUACAAGAAAAAUCCUCUACAAAUUACCUACAGCAUCCUACUAAACCCAGAAAACUGUUAAUCUCAAAAACAUUAUGUGGUCUCUUUCAAUUCACCACUAUUUCAACUUUCUUUGAAUCCACUGAAAUCCCGUCUUUCAACACCACAUGCCCAAGGAAAGCAACACUAAAAAGUCAAAAUUCACAUUUCUUCAAUUUAGCAAAUAACUAUUUCUGCCUCAAAGUCUUCAAAACAACCCUUAGAUGCUCUUUAUGAUCUGCUGAGCUAGGGGAAUACACUAGAAUAUCAUCAAUAAAAAUAACCACAAAUUUAUCCAAAUAAGGUUUAAAAACCCUAUUCAUCAAGUCCAAAAAAGUAACUAGAGCAUUUGUCAACCCAAAAGGCAUAAUAAGGAACUCAUAAUGCCCAUAUCAGGUACGAAAAGUAGUUUUGGGAACAUCCUCAAUUCUCACCUUCAACUGGUGAUAACCAGAUAAAAGAUUAAUUUUGGAAAACACUUAAGUGCCCUUUAGUUGAUCAAAUAAAUCAUAUAUCCCAGGCAAAAGAUACCUAUUAUUCACGGUUGCCUUAUUUAACUCCCGAUAAUCAAAACACAACCUCAUACUCCCAUUUUUUUUCUUCACAAAUAACACUGGCGCUCCCCAAGGAGAUAUACUACAUCUAAUAAAGCCCUUAUCAAGAAGUUCUUGCAACUGCUCUUUCAACUCUUUUAAUUCUAUAAGAGCCAUUUUAUAAGGAGCUUUAGAAAUAAGGUCAGUUUUUGGAACCAAAUCAAUAGAGAAAUCAAUUUCUCUAUUAGGAGGUAAACUAAGUAGAUCUUUAGGAAAAAAUUAGGAAAUUCCCCCAUAAUAAGAACAUCUUCAAUCAUUAACUCCUUCAUUCUAGUGUCUAUAACAGUUGCCAAAAAUCUUUUGUAACCACUAGUAAGCAAUCACCUAGCUUUCAAAGCAAAGAUGACUCGCAAAGGAGUGUAAGAACCACUACCACGAAAAGAAAAAGGUGUUUCCCCGGGAAUCUGAAAGUCUACCCUUUUCCCUCGAUAAUCAACUUUAGCAAAAUUUGCAACUAACCAAUCCAUCCCCAGAAUUAUAUCAAAAUCUUACAUAUCUAAAACAUGAAGAUCUGUAAGCAAUUCUCUAUCUUCAAUCCUUACCACACACAUCUUAUAAAUCUGAUCAGAGAUAAUAUCACCUCUAACUAGAGUGUCUACGCAUAGUUCAUAAUCUAGAAGCAUACAAGGCAAAGCAAACUUUCGAAAAAAUGUAGCAAAUACAAAAGAACGAGAUGCAUUGGUAUCAAACAAUACAUGAGUAAAAGCUGAGGCAACUAGCAGUGUACUUGAGACAACGGUGUUGGAUGCCUCUACAUCCGAUUGAGUGAUAGCAUAAGCACGCCCCUGGGUGCAAGGUCUUCCCACUUUUUGAUGUUCAAAAGAAGGUGUUUGCGUAGUCUAAACAACAUGAGUGGGUUGAGUCCUUUGCGUUGCAGUUUCAAAAGUUCGAGAGUUUUGCGACCUCUGCACAGAUUGAGAUUCUUGAAGGACUAAAGGACAAUUAGCAAUACGAUGGCCCUAUUGUCUACAUUCAGCAGCUCGAUGUCCUCCACCACACACUGAACACCUAGGCUUUUGUGCCCAAACUAUGAAAAUACAACCCUAAACAUAACUUAAUCAGCAAUCCCUUGAAUAUUUUUCCCUUUUUUCUGUCUUUCUUCUUCCUUGGUGUUAAGCUCUUCUGACUGCCUAUCGUUUGAGUAUGAUGAAAUAAACUUGUAAACUAACCUAACUUUCACUAUUUUUUUUUAAACAUGAUUUAGUGAGUUGUUGUCAGGUAAGAUAUACUAACCUUAACCCCACUAACUUAAAUGUGAUAAAUAAAACUGACAUUAAUUAAACUUUUUUAUUUACUUAAAGACCCCUUCUUCUCUUUUUUAAUUAUUAAGGCACCAAAAGUUAAAACUGCAAUUAAAUAAAAUACUAAAAGAACAUCUACUUAUUCAAAAAUGAAUAGUAAAUUUGAUCCAUCAUGUUAAGUAGAUUGGUGGUAAAUUUGAACCUUUUCUCAAACUAUUCUAUGGAGUUUGUUUGUGAAAAUAUGGCAGCACAUGCCCAAAUUAAAUUAGUAAACAACAUACACAUAUUCUAUAAUCAUGUUUUUCAUCUUUGGGUUGGCAAAGAAUGUUUGAGAUUGCAUUGGGAGUGGUUCGAGGUAUUGAAUAUUUACACAGAGGUUGUGAAAUGCAAAUUUUACAUUUUGAUAUCAAGCCACAUAACAUUCUUCUAGAUGAGAACUUCAUCCCGAAAGUUUCAGAUUUUGGCCUUGCAAAGUUGUAUUCAAUGGAUGACAGUAUUGUCUCUCUUACAGCUGCAAGAGGUACAUUAGGAUAUAUGGCUCCUGAAUUGUUCUAUAAAAAUAUUGGAAGCAUUUCAUAUAAUGUUUAUAGUUUUGGAAUGAUGUUAAUGGAAAUUGUCGGAAGGAGAAAAAAUGUGAAUGUCUCUGCUGAACAUUCAUGUCAAAUUUAUUUUCCAUUUUGAAUUUAUGAUCGACUUGAGGAAGGAGAUAUCAUAGAACUUGGAGAUGUAACGGAAAAUGAAAACAAAAUUAUGAGGAAAAUGGUAAUAGUAGCCUUUUGGUGCAUACAGAUGAAGCCCACAGAUCGUCCUUCAAUAAGCAAAGUCUUGGAGAUGCUUGAAAGUGAAGUUGAGCUCCUUGAAAUGCCUCCCAAGCCUGCUUUCUCUGAAAGGUCAACCAAACCAUUAGUUGUAUUAUAAGUAAUAUUUAAUGUUGUACGUUAAGCAAUGUUUCACUACUUUAUCAUACUACUUUUAUAAUUUUUAUAGUAGAAACCUUAAGCUUGAGGCAUAAUCUUCUCUCUUCCAAAAAAAACCAAAAAAAAAAAACAAUAUAGAAUGGUGAGGAAGAAAGUAUAGCAAGGAAAAGAAGGAUACUGAGUUGGAGUUUUGAGCGUGCGAAGGUGUUAUUUUAGAAGAGUUGUAAUGGUAUCUCGUAAGUAUUUUGUCUAUAUAAAAAGUCUUUUGCUCAUAUAAAGAAUAAAGACUUUAAAUAGCAUUAUCGAUAUAUUAUUGCAAAUAAUUAACUUACGUUUUAAAAAAAUUAAAAAUAUUCCUCAACCAUGCUUGGAAUUAUAAUUUUUAUUUAAAAAAAUAAAUUAUUUGAGUUUUAUUUUAAAAAAAUAAAUUAUUUGAGUUUUCUCUCUUAAUUAAAAAGUCAAAUUUUAUCCAAUUCAAAAAUUUAUUUAAAAUGAUUUGAAAUCAAAUUCAACUUAAUUCAAAUUAAAUGACAAAAAUUAAAAAUUUCAAUAUGAAAAUACGUGAAUUUAAAAUGAUAUUAAUUUAAUCCGACACAAUUCAAUGUUAACAUGACUCGAAUCUAAAACGAACCGAGCUCAUAAUGAUCAAAAAUCCAAGAUUUAUUGGAUCCAAAACUUACAAAAACUUAAAUUUAUAACUCCCAAAAAUCCAAAUUAUAAUUAAAUAAUUUUAUUUAAUAAUUAAAUAAGUAAAUGAUUAAUUUUUAAGUGAAAAUUUUAAGACACACAAGCACCUUUUUCUCGUCAAUGCUUCUUCGUUACUCAGAAACAGCUCAUAAGAAUGGCAUGGUCAACUACUCUGCUUCACCUUCACUUCAAAUCCCCUCCGGUUUCUUCUCACCAAUUCCCACAUUCCCCCCCAAAAAUCCCCGAUCUUCCUAAACCCUAACCCUAUAAUUCCCAAACCCAAACCCCCCAAAAUGCAAUUCCUUCACAGGCCCAACGCGUUUCCAGGCCACGGCGCAGUAUCAAGAGCCAUGGACAUCAUCCAAUCCUCACCGCCCACGUGGGAAUCGGCCUUCCUUACCAACAUCCUGAUCUUCGUCGUCGGGACUGCACUUUUAGUAGCGGGGCUUUCUCUCUCCGAAAUUUUCGCUUCCUUCUUGCUUGGCACUCUCACUUGGCGAGCUUUCGGGUCUUCUGGAUUCCUCCUCAUUGCUUCUUACUUCGUUAUAGUGAGUCACUAAAAAGUCUAUGAAUUUUAUUUGAAUUAUGGGAUUUACGUUAAAAUUGGAAAUGGGUUCUGAUUUUCGCUCCCAUUUGGUAUAAAGUUUAUGCUCUGGAUGACAAGUUUCAUUGUUUGGUAUUUUGGCAAAGGAAAAAAAAUUUAGUUUAUGUCAAAAAGAUUUAACGUGAAGUAUUUAGUUAUUUAAGUGUGAUUUGUUUUUAUUUCAAGAAUUGGAUUACACUAGGUGAAAACAGGUCAAAACUAUAACCAAAACAUUUUUCCAAAAUUCUUUUUUAUUUUCAUUUGUUUUCUUCUUGGUGGGGGCAGGUGAAGGGAGAUUUUAUUUGCUUUUGACAUGUUUCUUAAGUAUAAAGUUGAAGUAGAAGAUAAACUGAAUAAAAAAAUAAAAAAAGUUAAAUUAGAUAGAGAGGGUGAAUAUUUACCUAUUAAUGAUAUUUGUGAAAAGAAAGAAAUAAUUUAUAAAAUUACUCUCUCAUAUUCUACUGAAUCAAAUAGUGUAGUUGAAAGGAAAACUAAAACAUUAAAAGAAAUGAUGAAUUAUAUGCUUAUUAGUUCUAAUGCACAUGAAAAUUUGUAGGGUGAAGUUAUAUUAUUUGCAUGUCAUAUUCAAAAUAGAAUUCACUGCAAGAAAACUGAUAAGACACCUUAUGAAUUGUGAAAAGUCUAUUCUUCUAACUUAAAAUAUUUAAAAGUAUGAGAGUGUUUAGCUAAUGUUAUGCUUCUUGAUUUUAAGAAAAGAAAAAUUGACUCUAAGAUGUCCGGUUGCAUGUUUAUUGGCUAUACCAAAUAUAGUGCUGCAUAUAAAUUUCUUGUACUAAAAAAUGAUGUUUUUGAUAAUAAUACAAUUAUUAAAACAAAAAAUGUUGAAUUUUUUUGACAUAUUUUUCUAUUGAGAACUGAUACAAUUUUUCUUCCAUCUUUUAGUGAAAAUGUUUUUUUAAAUGCAAAAUGAUGAUUUGAGAAGAAGUAAAAGACAAAAGAAAGAAAUUUCUUUUUGUAAUGAUUUUUACACUUAUCUUGUAGAUAAUGAUCUUUUAAAUUAUGCUAAUUCAAUUUCUUCUAAAGAAUGUCCAUUUUGAAAAGACGUUAUACAAAAUGAGAUUGAUUCUAUUUUACAAAAUCAAACCCGGGAAUUAAUUUAUUUACCACCUGAAGCUAAGCCAAUUGGUUGUAAAUGGAAUUUUUAAAAAAAAUUUAAUCUUGAUUAUUUUAUUGAUAAAUACAAAAUUAAAUUAGUUGCUAAGGGUUUUACCAAAAAAUAAAAUAUUGAGUAUUUUGAUACUUUUGCUCUAGUAACAAGAAUUUCAUCUAUUUGUAUUUUAAUUGCCUUAGCUUCGAUUUACAAACUUUUUGUUCAUCAAAUGAAUGUUAAAACAGUUUUUUUAAAUGAUGAUUUAGAAGAAGAAAUUUAUAUGACACAACUCGAGGGAUGUGUACUUCUUGGUCAAGAAAACAAAAUUUGUAAAUUAAUUAAAUCUCUAUAUACUUAAAACAAGCACCAAAAUAAUGGUAUGAGAAAUUUGAUUAAAUUCUUGUUAAUAAUAGAUUUUUUACUAUUGGAGUUGAUAAAUGUGUGUACACAAAAACUAUUGAUAACGAAUAUAUGAUUAUUAGCUUAUAUGUUGAUGAUAUGUUUAUUUGUGGUACAUGCAUUGAUGUGGUAAAUAAAACAAUAUGUUUCUUAACUUAUAAAUUUGAUAUGAAAGAUUUGGGAGAAACCAAUAUUAUUUUGGGUGUUAAAGUCAUAAGAUGUGAGAGUGGCCUAAUGUUAACACAAAAACAUUAUAUUGAGAGGUUACUUAAAAAGUUUAGACAUUUUAAUGUCACACUUGUGAAUACUCCUUAUAAUGUUAAUACCCAAUUAAAGAAAAAUAGAGAUGAUAGUAUGGCUCAACCUUAGUAUGCAUAGAUUUUUAAAAGUUUGAUGCAUUUGAUGAAUUAUACUUGACUUGGUAUAGCUUAUGUUAUGUGUAGACUGAGUAAAUAUACAUAAAGUCUCAAUCAAGAUCAUUGAACUGUUUUGAAUAGAGUAAUGAAAUAUUUGAAAUGUACCAUAAACUAUGAUAUUUUAUAUAAUAGAUUUUCCGUUGCAUUAGAAAGGUACAAUAAUGUUAACUUAAUCUCAUAUUCAGAUGAGACAAAAUUCAUGAGUGAUUAUGUAUUCACCAUUGGUGUGGAUGCUGUUACUUAGAAAUUAGUCAAAUAAAUAAUAAUUACUAAAUCUACAGUGGAAUCAGAAUUUAUAGUUUUAGAAUUAACUAGUAAUGAGGUUGAAUAGUUAAGAAACCUCUUAACAGAUAUUUCAUUAGAAAUGAAACCAACACCUUCUGCGUCUAUGUAUUGUGAUUGUCUAACGGCAAUAAACAUUGUGAAGAAUAAAACUUUCAAUGGUAAGAAUAGACACAUUUGUUUAAGAUAUGAUGUGGUAAAAUAAUUACUUAGAGAUGAAAUUAAUGUCCAUUAAUUAUACGAAGUCAUAUACCAAAAAAUAUAAAUUAUGAAACCGAUGAAUCCUUUUAGAACUAUUAUUUUGCAUUUCAAUAAGUCCAUGGUGGAAUUUUAAGACUGCACAAAUGAAUUCAUAGGAUUGUUUAAGUGAUUUUAUUUAUAUGUUAUUGCAGACAGAUUACAAAAAUUCCUUUCCUGUUAGUUUCGUUAUCAAUCAGUUCAUACGUUAUUUUCUUCAUUAAUUCUUGUUUGAGUGGAAAAUCAUCUCAGAGCUAUGAUUGGCUUGUGUUGAAGUUGUUGGAUUGAAUUAAUUAGUUGACUGGACUGACUUUUCAAACGAAGACGAGUGAGGGAGAAAGACCGCACCAUUAAAAGUUGACUGACUUUUCAGUUACCGCAUGAAACCGUACAACUCUCAGACGUGAGUCUGAAAAAUGUGCAAUUUUGCUAAUAUAUGCAUGUGAUAUUUUUGUCCAAAAUAUUAUCAAAACAAAUUGUAUAGAACUGUGAAAUCCGUAAAAGUUGUUUGCAAAAAGGUUUUUAACAGCACAAGUUAAAGAAAAAAGGUCAAAGGAAGAUUUGAUUUCAAUUACAGCCACAGAAAUAAUUAACAAAGCAAUAAAGAUAACAUUAUCCUAACUCUUAUUUAAUCUCUCUCGUUAAACUUUGUUAUACUUAAUUCUCCUAAAAAAAACUUUUUUAUACUUACAAAAAAUAAAUAUAAGAUAUGGAGAUUGAUCAAUUUUAUUUAGAAUUAUUAUUUUAUAUAUUUGCAAUGAAAUUUUGAAAUUCCAAAUUUCAUAACAUUAUUUAAGUCAUAUUAUAUAUCUACAUAUAUAUAUAUUAUGUUAAGGGGUAUAUUGAUCUCACUAAUGUGCAGAUAUACUUGGAUGAAUUACCCAUGAGUGCUAUGGUAGGCUUUGUGUUAAAUGUGUUUUCUGGUUUGGGUUUAAUUAGUUGUCUGACUUUUCAAAAGAAGACUUGGUUUUAACAAUAAAUAUAAGAGAACAUCAUAGUGCUUCUUCACAAACUAAUUAAGCCCUUAAUCUCCUUCUCUCCCACUGAAAUUUUAGGAUGCUAAGAGCAAAGCUUCCAUUAUUCGGCCUUCUGGCCCUUGCUUUAUCUCUAUUCCCUGAUGCAUGCAUCGCUAGAGGCAAACACAAGCACUGUGGCUCUUCUUUCUGUGGAAACAUUAAUAUCACUUCCCCUUUUCGAUUAAAAAGUCAGCCUCGAAGUUGUGGUUACAAUCGUUAUGAACUAGUAUGCGAGAAUAACCGCACCAUUUUCCCCAUGAAACAUGGGAAUUUCUAUGUCCAACACAUCUCUUAUAGUGACGAAACCAUUCAACUGUUAGACGUGAGUCUUGACAAGGAUAACUUUUUUAUACAAUGAAUUUAUAAGAUUGCUUGAAUGAUUUUAUUCCUAUUUGAGUGGAAAAUCAGCUAAGAGCUAUGAUUGGCUUGUGUUAAAGUGGUUGGCUUUAAUUUGUUGACCUGACUGACUUUUCGAACGAAGACAAGUGAGCAAGAAUAACCACACAUUUUCCCCAUGAAAUAUGAGAAUUUCCAUGUGGAAAAAGCCAUAUAAGUCUUAGAGGUGAGUCUUACCAAGCCACUCGGUAGGAGAUAGGGUAUACAUCUCCCUCAUCAUAAGUAUCCAUGCACGUCAAUAUAGGGUCAUGUGUAUCUCUUAAAUUGCAGGAUGAAGAUGAAUUCUUCGGUUUACAUUGAUGCUUUCCAUUGCACCAAUCGAUGUUCCUCUCCACGCUAUUUUGUUUCUUCAGUCAAAUUAUUGUCUGGUUAACAACUAAUGGAAAUGUAAGGACGGAAUAUUCACGUGAUAUGUUGCAUAAUUUAUACUAUAAUAUUUUAUCAUUGUUAACGGCACAAUUUGAUAAAAAGAUCAAAAUGAAAUCAUUGUAUUAUAUUUUGUGUAAAAUGCAUAAAAAAAAAGAAUUCUAAAUUUNNNNNNNNNNNNNNNNNNNNNNNNNNNNNNNNNNNNNNNNNNNNNNNNNNNNNNNNNNNNNNNNNNNNNNNNNNNNNNNNNNNNNNNNNNNNNNNNNNNNNNNNNNNNNNNNNNNNNNNNNNNNNNNNNNNNNNNNNNNNNNNNNNNNNNNNNNNNNNNNNNNNNNNNNNNNNNNNNNNNNNNNNNNUCUAUACUUAACAAAAGAUAAAUGUAAAAUAUAAAAUUGAUCAAUUUUGUUUAGAAUUAUUAUUUUAUAUAUUUUGAAAUUUUGAAAUUUCAAAAUAUAUAAUAUUAUUUAAGUCGUAUUAUAUAUUAUAUUAUUGAAGGCUUAUAUUAAUCUCCCUACUGUGCAGAUAUACUUGGAUGAAUUAUAAAGAUGUCUUUUCUAUCAGUUUCGCUACGUACCAAUUGGUUGGACACAUAUUUUAUUCUUUCUUAUUUGUUUGUGUUAAAAGUGUUUUGCGGUUUGGGUUUAAUUAGUUGACUGACUUUUCAGAAGAAGACUUGGUUUUAAUAAUAAAUAUAAGAGAACAUCACAGUACUUCUUCACAAACUAAUUAAGCCCUUAAUCUCCUCUCCCGCUGAAAUUUUAGGAUGCUAAGAGCAAAACUUCCAUUAUUUUGCCCCUUGGCUUUUGCUUUAUCUCUAUUCCCCGAUGCAUGCAUGGCUAGGGGCAAAAACAAGGACUGUGGCUCUUCUUUCUGUGGAGAAGUUACCAUCAAAAAGCCCUUUCAGUUAAAAAGCCAACCUCUCAGGUGUGGAAACCGUGGGCUUGAAGUCGAGUGUGACGACAAUAACCGCACCACUUUCCCCAUGAAAUAUGGGAAAUUCCUUGUCCAAGACAUCUCUUAUAAUAACGGCACAAUUCAUAUUAUAUUAUAUUUUUAUGUAUGUUUGUAUCUAUAGUAUUAGUUGUUUAAACUUUUUGGGUGCAAUUCUUUUUCAUAUAUAAUUAACAGCUUUUAUAAAACAGCAGUCUUUGUCACUAUAUAUGCUUGUAAAUCUCUCUUUAACUGCAAUUUUUUUGUCCAAAAUACUUCUAAUAAAAGAUUGUAUAGAGCAGCCAAAUUUGUAAAGUUCUAUCCUAAUUAAAACACUUUCAAUAACAUCUUAAAAAAAUUAAAUGCCAAAGUUAUUGUAGUGUGUUUUUCCCCUUUGGCUCUAGACUCUAGUUUAUUAAAUUUUCAAAGGAAGAUUUGCUUUCAUUUGCAGCCACAGAAUGAUAAGCAGAGCUACCAAGAUAAGAUUAUCUUAGUUCUUAUUUAAUCUUUCUUUUCAAACUUUUUUAUGCAUAUAAAAAAAUGUGAAAUAUGGACGGAUUAGUUCUUUUAGACUUAAUAGGUUGAUGGUGAAAUUUUAAGACUACACAACAUAUUUAUAGGAUUGUUUUUUAUUUAUAUUUUAUUGGGGGUUAAUAUUAGUCUCCCAACUUAGACGAAUAACAAAAAUUCCUUUGCUAUCAAUUUCGUUAUCAAUCAGUUGCAUACGUUAUUUUCUUCACUUAAUUUCUAUGUGGAAAAAGCCAUAUAAGUCUUAGAGGUGAGUCUUGACAAGGAUAACUGCUCCAUUCCUUAUAGUUCCUAUCCUUGCUACAGCCCUUGUGGAAAAAGCCUAUCACUUGGUAGAAGAUAUGGUAUACAUCUCCCUCGUCAUAUGUAUACAUGCACCUCAAUAUAGGGUCAUCUAUCUCUUAAAUUGCAGGAUGAAGAUGAACAUUUGGUUUACAUCGAUGCUUCUCAUUCCACCAAUCGGUGUUCCUCUACAUCUUCUUUUGUUUCUUCGGUAUUUUACAUUGUUAAUGGGACAAUUUGAUAAAAAGAUCAAAAUAAAAUUGUUUCAAAAUAUUAUACACAUGAAAAAAUAUUACGAAUUUAAUUUGAUUACUUUAUUGCGAAAGUUGCAAAAAUAAUUGUAGAAGCAUGUAUAAUGAUUAUGGGCAUUAUUUGAAUAGAUAUUUUUCUCCUUUUUCGCGUCCGACUGAUCGUAACUUAUCUUCAAAUUCAAAUAAAAAAGAAAAAAAAUUCAAGACUGAGAGUAUUUUAGAUAGUCAUUCAAGAGCUUGACUGAUUUCAUAUUGGUCUGUGCAACAAAUUUGCAAAUUUUUUAAAAGACAACUUUGAACUUUAGACAUGCAUAAUUUUUUUAAUACACAGGGAAAAUGUAUAUAUAAAGUACAAGGAAAGAUAUAUCUAUAUAAAUUAAAUUAAUUUUACACACCCUUUUAUAUUUUUUUAUACAAUUUAUAUUUUGUUAAUCCAAUCAUUGAUUUCAAAUUAUAUUCACAUAAAUCAUGCAUAACAGAUUUCAAAUUAAUUAAAACUGAUUAACUAUUUAUUUGAUAAAAAUAAAAUUUCAAUUGUUAAAUAUAUUGAAAAAAUAAACAUUUUACCAAAUUGACUUUGAAAUUACAUGAUAAGUACAAGUUGUUAAAUCUAACAAUAAAAUAUUAAUUUUUAAAGAAAUUAUAAAAAAUGUAAAACUAAUUAGUUUUACGCAAAAAAAUUAAUUUAUUGUUAUUUAGGCUUUUGUGUGCAAUUUUUUCAUAUUUAACAGUAGUUGAAAAUAUGCGGUCUUUACUAAUAUAUGCAUGUGAUAUUUUUGUCCAAAAAUUACCAAAAACAUAUAGAACUGCGAAAUCCGUAAUGUUGUAUGGAAAAGGAUUUUUAACAACACAAGCGAAAGAAAAAAUUUAAUAAAUACAAAGUUAAUAUAGUUUGUUAUUUCCACUUAUUCAAAGGAAGAUUUGAUUUCAAUUGCAGCCACAGGAAUAUUUAGCAAAGCAAUGAAGGUAACAUUAUCCUAACUCUUAUUUAAUCUUUCUGGUUAAACUUUUUUUUACAUAAUAUUCCCAAAAAAAAACUUUUUAUACUUAUAAAAAUUAAAUAUAAGAUAUAUGGAGAUUGAUCAAUUUUACUUAGAAUUAUUAUUUUAUAUAUUAGCAAUGGAAUUUUGAAAUUCCAAAUUUUAUAACAUUAUGUAAGUCACAUUGUAUUUAUUUAUUUAUUGAGGGGUUAUAUUAGUCUCCCUACCGUGCAGAUAUGCUUGGAUGAAUUAGAAAGAUUUCUUUUCUGUCAGUUUCGUAAUGUAUCAAUUGGUUGGACACAGAUUUUCUUCUUUCUUGUUUGUUUGUUUGCGUGGAAAAUCACCCAUGAUUACUAUGAUUGGCUUUGUGGUAAAAGUGUGUUGCGGUUUGGGUUUAAUUAGUUGACUGACUUUUCAAAAGAAGACUUGGUUCUAACAAUAAAUCUAGGAGAACAUCAUAGUGCUUCUUCACAAACUAAUUAAGCCCUUAAUCUCCUUCUCUCCCGCUGAAAUUUUAGGAUGCUAAGAGCAAAACUUCCAUUAUUCGGCCUUCUGGCCCUUGCUUUAUCUCUAUUCCCUGAUGCAUGCAUCGCUAGAGGCAAACACAAGCACUGUCGCUCUUCUUCCUGUGGAAACAUUAACAUCACUUACCCUUUUCGAUUAAAAAGCCAGCCUCAUAGGUGUGGUUACAAUGAGCUUGAACUAGUGUGUGAGAAUAACCGCACCAUUUUCCCCAUGAAAUAUGGUUAUGGGAAUUUCUAUGUCCAACACAUCUCUUAUAGUAACAAAACCAUUCAAAUGUUAGACGUGAGUCUUGACGAGGAUAACUGCUCCAUUCCUCAUAGUUCCUACCCUUUCUACGUGGAUGCACUAAAUAUAUAUUCCUAUCAAACUACCACUGAACCUAGCAUCAUGUAUCUCGUAAAUUGCCCGAUCCAGAUCAACAACUCUUGGGUUUAUAUUGAUGCUUUUCGUUGUACCAAUACCCCUUCCUCUCGACCUCCUUACUUUUACUUUUUGGAUGAAAAUACUGCAAUGUCUAAUUUCCAUGAGUCAUGCACAGUUGAAGCGCAGGUUCCAAUCAUGGUUGCCAAUAUCACUGGCCUCUCUACUUUUGAUAUUUACACAAAGCUGUUGGAGGGAUUCCAACUCUCAUGGUCUUCGUAUGAUGAUAUGUCAAGGUGAGACUCAGUUUUUAACGCGUGAGGAUUUUUAAGUAUUCCAAACUAUUUGGUGCAUUUUAGUUUUUGAAAAGUAUUUAUUAUUUUUAGUUUUUAAUUUUUAAAUUACCUUUUUAACUAUGUAUAUAAAUUUUUAUAAUUAGAAUCACAAAUUUUUAUUACUGUAGUAUCUUCUUCAGACUUUGAUUAUUUACUUUUACUCUAAAUUUGUUUAAUGUAAAAUUUAAACAGAAGCAUUUAAAAUAUUUUAAACAGUGAAAGUGCGCAUUUCAUGGCCUUAUUAAGGAUAACGGUUUUGAUGUGCUUUCUUGAAUAUUAAUUAUAGAUUGCUCUGGCUGUUGCUGCAUCCGCUGCAAAUAUAUAUUCAAAGCAUCAUGGCUUUGUUUCAACCAGAUUAUUUCUAUGCACCUUAUAAAGGUAUUCGUUCUUUUUUGAGUUCAUUAAUAAUUUGAUUCUUAUUGGAUUGGCCUUUACUUUCCUGUAUAGUUGACUUGACUCUUUACGUGCAUCAUAAGUAAACUGUUAAAUUUAAUAGUUGGUUUAUUAAAAUAUUAAUAGUAUACGAAGUUAUAAAAAAUUUAUAAAAAUUAAUUAAUUAAUUUUAUAGUGGUGUUGUGUGAGUAUCGCAUAUAUGUAUACGUAUGUAUCCAAGUGACUACAUAAAAGAAGAUCCAUCAUAAAUGAUUCAUAAAUAAUUUUGAACUACAUUAAUUGGGUAUUUUUUAACUAGGUAUUUUUAUGAUGUUGUGAUUUUUUUGGUCAAAAUAAAAAUUAUGUGGAAUAAGGUCUAAAUUUACCAUUCUAUAUAUUUCGGAUAAUGGAUCAAACUUGUCAGCAUCUUUGAACGGGUGUAAUUUUGCCAUUAUACUUUUAAAUUAGUUAAAAAUGUAAUCAAAAGUUAAGACUAAUGUUAAUUUUUGACCAUUUUUGAAGUAAAUUAAAAUGUAUAAUGGUAAAAAUUGCACUUGUUUAAAAAUAAAAUAAUAAAUUUGAUCCAUCACCUUAAAUAAACUAGUGUGUGUAAAUUUAAAUUUUAUCCCAAAUUAUGUUAUGAAUUUUGUUGGGGAAAAUAUGGCAGCACAUACCCAACUUAAAUUGGUAAAUGACAUAUGCAUAGCAUAUAAUCAUGUUGUCCAACUAAUUAAUAUAUAUAUUGUUAUGUAAUUUUUUUUUUGUGAAACAGGAAUUAUAUUGCUAAGAACACUUUUGGGGAUAAUUUGCUUGAUUAUAUUGGUUAUACGCAAAUUAAAAAGGAGGCAUUUGUCGAUGGAUGACAUGAUUGAGAAUUUUCUUCAGAGUCAAAACAAUUUAAUGCCUAUAAGAUAUUCUUAUUCUGAAAUAAAAAGAAUGACGGAAGGUUUCAAGAAUAAACUAGGACAAGGAGGAUAUGGCUCUGUGUUUAAAGGAAAACUUCGAAGUGGUCAAUUUGUUGCGGUAAAAUUGUUAAACAAAUCAAAAGCUAAUGGUCAAGAUUUCAUCAAUGAAGUUGCAACUAUUGGAAGAAUUCAUCAUGUUAAUGUAGUAAGACUCAUUGGAUUUUGUGUGAAGGGAUCGAAACAAGCUCUUGUAUAUGACUUCAUGCAAAAUGGAUCCUUAGAUAAAAUAAUAUUUUCAACUGAAAGUAACACUUUGAGUUGGCAAAAAAUGUUUGAGAUUACAUUGGGAGUGGCUCGAGGUAUUGAAUAUUUACAUAGAGGUUGUGAAAUGCAAAUUUUACAUUUUGAUAUUAAGCCACAUAACAUUCUUCUAGAUGAGAACUUCAUCCCGAAAGUUUCAGAUUUUGGCCUUGCAAAAUUGUAUUCGGUGGAUGAUAGUAUUGUCUCUCUCACGGCUGCAAGAGGUACAUUAGGAUAUAUGGCUCCUGAAUUGUUUUAUAAAAAUAUUGGAAGCAUCUCAUAUAAAGCUGAUGUUUAUAGUUUUGGAAUGAUGUUAAUGGAAAUUGUCGGAAGGAGAAAAAAUGUGAAUGUCUCUGCUGAACAUUCGAGUCAAAUUUAUUUUCCAUCAUGGAUUUAUGAUCGACUUGAAGAAGGAGAUAACAUAGAGCUUAGAGAUGUAACGGAGAAUGAAAACAAAAUUAUGAGGAAAAUGUUAAUAGUAGCCUUUUGGUGCAUACAGAUGAAGCCCACAGAUCGUCCUUCAAUGAGCAAAGUCUUGAAGAUGCUUGAAAGUGAAGUUGAGCUCCUUGAAAUGCCUCCCAAGCCUGCUUUCUCUUGAAAUGUCAACCAAAUCAUUUGGUGUUGUAUUAUAAGUAAUAUUUAAUAUUGUAUGUUAAGCAAUGUUUCACUACUUUAUUAUAUUACUUUUAUAAUUUUUAUAGUAGAAACCUUAAGCUUGAGGCAUAAUCUUCUCUCUUCCAAAAAAAAACAAAAGAAACAAAAACAAUAUAGAGUGGUGAUGAAGAUAGUAUAGCAAGGAAAAGAAGGAUACUGAGUUGGAGUUUUGAGCCUGCGAAGGUAUUAUUUUAGGAGAUUUGUAAUGGUAUCUUGUUAGUAUUUUGUUUAUAUAAAAAGUCUUUUGUUCAUACAAAGGGCAAAGACUUUAAAUAGCAUUGUCUAUACAAUCAUUAUGUUAAUGCAAAUAGUUAACCAAGUUUUUAAAAAAAUUAAAGAUUUUUCUAAACCAUGUUUGGAAUUAUAAAUUUUUUAUUUAAAAAAUGUAAAUUAUUUGAGUUUUCUCUCUUAAUUAAAAAAGUCAAAUGUUAUCGAAUUCAAAUAUUUAUUUAAAACGAUUCAAAAUCAAAUUCAAUUUAAUUCAAAUUAAAUGACAAAAAUUAAAAAUUUGAAUCCAAAAAUAUGUGAAUUUAAAAUGAUAUUAAUACAAUCUACCUUCAACAUAACUCGAAUCUAAAACGAACCGAGCUCAUAAUGAUCCAAAACCCAAGAUUUAUUUGAUCCAAAACUUAUAAAAACUUAUAUUUAUAACUCCAAAAAAUCCAAAUUAUAAUUAAAUAAAUUUAUUUAAUAGCUAAAUGAGUAAAUGAUUAUUUUUUAAGUGAAAAUUUUAAGACACACAAGCACCUUUUUCUCGUCAAUGCUUUUUCUUUGCACAGAAAAAGCGCAUAGGAAUGGCAUGGUCAACUACUCUGCUUCACCUUCACUUCAAAUUCCCUCCGGUUUCUUCUCAUCAAUUGCCACAUUCCCUCCCCAAAAAAUCCCCAAUCUUCCUAAACCCUAUCCCUAUAAUUCCCAAUUCCAAACACCCCAAAAUGCAAUUCCUUCACAGACCCAACGCGUUUCCAGGCCAAGGCGCAGUAUCAAAAGCCAUGGACAUCAUCCAAUCCUCUCUGCCCACGUGGCAAUCGGCCUUCCUCAGCAACCUCGUGAUCUUCGUUGUCGGAACCCCACUUUUAAUAGCGGGACUAUCUCUCUCCGGAAUUUGCGCUGCCUUCUUGCUUGGCACUCUCACUUGGCGCGCUUUUGGGUCUUCUGGGUUCCUCCUCGUUGCUUCUUACUUCGUUAUAGUGAGUCAUUACAAAGUCUAUGGAUUUUAUUUGAAUUAUAGGAUUUAAGUUAAAUUUAGAAAUGGGGUUCUGAUUUUUGUUCCCAUUUGGUAUAAAGUUUACGCUUUGGAGGACAAGUUUCAUUGUUUGGUAAAUAUGGCAAAGGAAAAGAAAUUUAGUUUAUGUCAAAAAGAUUUCAUGUGACGUAGUUUGUUAUUUAAGUGUGAUUUGUUUUUGUUUAAAGAAUUGGAUUACACUAGGUGAAAUCAGGUCAAAACCAUAACCAAAAUAUUUUUUCCAAAAUUUCUUUAUUUUCAUUUGUUUUCCUCUUGGUGGGGGGCAGGUGGAGGAGCCAGGGAGAAUUUAUGGGUUCUCGCAGUUUUAGACUAGUUUGAAACGAUAUAGUAUUGUUUUUCCUGCUUUCCUUUCUGAUAAUGGCUUGUUUUACUUGCAAAAUGAAUCUUGAAUUAGUUCCUCCUUCCCUCUUCUGAUUUUCCCUACCCAUAUUUCUAGUUGAAGAUAAUAGUUUCAAAUCAUGCUUGAAAACUAUAUUACAAAAUACUUGUAAUAUCAAACAAUUUUGUGUGGCAUUCGAGUUUCUAAUUUGAAUGGAGAAAUAAUUGGGAUGGAAGUGGUAUUAAAUUUAGAGGAAAGAAACAAGAAUGCCUUUUGCAACAUUACAAAGAAAAGAAAAGAAAACCUAGUAUAAAACUUCGGAAGAUGCUUGAUUAUAAGGUGCUGGGCUUUUGAGGACCUGAGACUUCAUAAUACUUUAUAAUUCUCUAGAUCUUCAGGCAAUCUUACAGCUCUUUGUCAUGCCUCUAAAACAAAUGCGGUAAAACCAUGCUCAAUUGUUCAAAUUGUUAUGCUCAAUUGAGAACUCCUGACCUGUUAUGUGUGUGUGGAGAUGAUAACACCAAUGAAUGGCCUUGUUAUACGGAUGACCGCUCAUGAUAAUUGCUACUUCAAAAAUUAUUGGCUUAGAUUUUGCUGCUGUGUUUUGAAACUUGUUGGCAUGCCUCACGAAUGCUGCGAAAUGUGCAGAAGGUUUCUGAGAUCUUGCUGCCAUCUAAGAAGAAAGAAUAGGUGAAAUUGUACAGGUACUAUGAAUAUGAUGUAAUGUUUAGCUUUUUUAUAGGGACUUCCUUUUUGUAUAGUGAACUUGGUUGCAUUGGAAUGAGUCUGUUCUCUGGGAAGAAUCACUGUUCUGAAAUUUGUUAAGUCUGAUCACAAUUGCAACCAGGAGCGGCAUGCCUUGCUUUUCUUCUCAUAGGGCAUGAGGGUAUCCCAUCAGGGUUCUUUUUGUGAACCCCUCUUAUGAAAUAACAUCUUCUAUGCCUUUCCAAAAAAAAAAAAGUAACAAUCACAUGGCAUAAUUUUUUCUUACAAUAUGAGAGUACUACAUCAGAGUUUCUUAAUGCACUAAGAAAAGUUAGAGAUAAGGUCUAAGAAAAUAUCAAUUUCAAGAAGAAACAAAUAACACUAGAAUCAUAUUUUACAAAAAUAUCAUAAUUGAGUCAUGUAUAUAAAUAAUUUUGAUGUAUGAGGAAAUUAUUAAUUUAUAUAUCAAGUGAGAUCUAUGUGUUUUUUUUCAAAAUGUAUUAUCUUAUUAAUUUAACAAAUUAUUAAUUUAUCAUGUUGAUCUCAAAUCAGGACCAACCAAAAUUAAUAUUUAUUCAAAAUUAUUAAUUUAUCAAGUAUUAUUUAUAGAAGAUUUGUUGUACUUCUUUGUAAUUCACUCUAAAUAAAAGGGUAUGUUGAAACAAGCGGAAUUUAGAUCCCUUAUGGUUCUUGCUACAUUUAAGUACUAUUAAUGUCAUUUAUGCUGGUUAUAAAGAUCUGACAUUUUAUUUAGAAACAAAAUUUGUAGAGUGUCAAGCUUUAAUAGCUUUUUUUUUUUGUUGCUUUUUAAUGUUUAUAUUCGUUGCUAUAUACUAUUUUUUUCCCUAUCAAACCAUUCUUUCAUGCUUACAAAUUUAAAUUUGUGGUGUGCAAAAAUUGUUGGUGUAUUUUCAAAAAUCAAAGGUUAUGUCACAUAAUCAAAAGCUAUCUUAGCUCAAAGGUUUGUCACAUAAAGUGACAUAGUGUGACUAUUGGAUUGUAGACAGGUUAUNUUGGUGUAUUUUCAAAAUCAAAUGUUAUGUCACAUAAUAAAAAGCUAUUUUAGCUCAAAGGUUGUCACAUAAAGUGACAUAGUGUGACUAUUGGAUUGUAGACAGGUUAUUGUUUCAUUAGAUAUGAAAAGUUAUUGUUUCAAAUUAUAACUCAAAGAUUAUGAUUUAUGGAAUGAAUAGUUGUCCUUUCAUUAGAUGAUUAUUGAAACAAUACAUUUAUCUUAAAGUUGUGUCUAGCAAAAUGUAAAGAUGUCUUUUAGACAAAAUGGUGUCUUAAUAAAAGGGUUGUGUCCUUGAAGAAGAGACACUUGCAAGCCUAUGUAAAGGGCUUGUUGCCAACCAUUUUUACACAUCAAAUCAAAAACAAAACAAGAACAGAAAAUCAAGAGUAAGAAAGUGUUGUGUUCUAUUAACAUAAACACUUAAGUUCCCAUCAACUACAAAAGCAUCAAAAUUUCUUAUAAUCUACUUGUUGUAGAAAGUAAGCUCUAAAGCCAAACAACUUUGCAAACCCUUAGAUAUAUCUAGUGGUCUACUCUCGUAAAGUGCAAGACAAAGUUAAACGUUAGCUUCAUUGUAUCCUUAAAACUAUUCGCAUUAUUUCUCUUUGCAUACUGAGUGGUGGGGAUGAAAUAAGUUUUAAAAAUAAUGUCUAUUGAAAAGCUCGCCUUAAAAUCAAUUUUGUUGGUUCUUAAAUUUCAUCUAAACCUCAUUUGCACCAACAAAAAUGAACAGGUACCUACUUUACUUUAUUAUUCUACUUUUAUUAUAUAAUUUUUAUAGUCUCCUUUUUCAUCUUAUAUACGGAAUCAGAUCCAUAUAGAAACCUUAAGCUUGAGGCAUAAGCUUCUCUCUUAUGAAAAUAAAAUAAAAUAAAAUAAAAUAAAAAUCAAGAGCAGUAUAUAUACCAUUGUGAAUGAAUAAAGUAUAAAAUCAUAGUGCCUUUUGAGAUACAAAACAUUGUGAAUGCGACAAGAAGUAUUAGUUGUAAUGUGUUAAUGGUCAUUUUUAAAUCAAAUUAAAAAUGUUACUAUUAGCAAUAUCAAGAAUUGCCAAGGAGAAAUUCAUUGAUAAAAUGACAAAUACCCGAAUUCUCUUCAUUGGCAACUUUACUAAAAAUCACUUUCAACGAAAAAAAAUUAGUAAAAGAUCUUCCAUAUUAUCUCUAUAUAUAGUAUAAUAUCAAAAUUUAGUAUUCUAAAAAUUUUAUUUUAUGCUGUUUUAGUACUAACAUAUUUUAAACAAUAUCAUUGUUUAUAUUAUUAUUACACGGACACUACUUACAUAUAAUAUAUAUAUAUAUAUAUAAAAGAUAAUAGCAUUGUUAGCUUUAUUAGAAUGAAUAAUUGAUUUUUUUUAAAAAUAGAAUGAAUAAUCUAACGAGAUGAAUUGGAUUUUAAAAACUUUUUUUGACAAAAUAAAAUCUAAAAAAAAAACACAUCAAAUAAUAAAAUCAAAACCAUUAAAUAAAUAUUUAACUGAAAAUAAAUGUAAUAAAAAUAAAUAGUAUAGGGUAAAAAUAUUUGCAAGAACCAUUUAUAAAGGUUCAAUCUUGUCUCUUGGUAUUUAUGUCACAAGUCUACUUUCUAAUCCAAAAGACAUGCAUAUUAAGUAAAGAUAGACAUUUAUUUAUAAAUCCAAGACUCAACUCAUCUCUUAUUAAUGUAAGAUCUAUCACAUUCUACCUCACCUAAUUGUUCAAUACGUUCGUUGCAUCGGCUCCUUUACUCAUAGAGGAGAGGGACCGUAUCUUGAUCUAAGUCUACCUCGAACCUGAUAUCUUUUAUAAAAGUUUCAUACUAGUUAAGAGUUAAGUUUGCUCUAAUACCACUAAUCACGAGUUCACAUUUCUAAUCCAAAAAAUAUACAUAUUAGAUAGAGAGAGGCCCUUAUUUGUAAAUCAAGACCCACCCAUAUGACACUUACAUUCUCUCUCUUAGUGUAGUAAAGAGUUCAAUACACUACUUAAUUCAACCAAUACAAAUACUAUUUUCUUGCGUAUCCAAAACAUGCAAAAAAUGCUCUACUUCCCUAUGUGAUACCUCAGAUGAAAUAAAUUAUUUCCUCAUCUUUAAAAGAAAAUACAAUAAUUGUAAAUUUUAUUUUUCUCCUAUUUUAUGUAACAGCCUCAACUUUGACUAAGGUUAUAAAUUACUUGUGUUGAACCAUUUGAUAACUUGCCAUGAGAUUUAAACAUAUGUAUUAAAUAUAUGAACAAAUGACAAUGUGUUUAAGGAUCUUGAAUGAUAAACUAUUAGGGUAAAAUACCCUUACCCCUCUAAGUUUUGAUUGAAAUUACAUGGAGGUCCAUUAGUUUUCAAAAUAGACACUCCGCCCCAAAAAAAUAUUUUUCACUGGACAUUUAGGUCCAGUUGUUAGUCAACCAUUAGUGUUUCCGUCAAUUUGAUGAUGUGAUAAGGGUAAAAACAUAAUUUCACCAUUGAUUAAUUUUUAAAAUUACUAUUAUAUAAUUUUAUUAAUUUUUUAAUUAAUUAAAAUAAAAAAGCUCCUCAAGGAGCAUUAAAGCUCCCUGGGAAGCACCAAUCGGGUGCUCCCCUCCCUUGAGGAGCACGAUGCUCUCUUUUUUAAAAUUUUUUUAAACAUAUAAUAUAAUUUUUAAAAUUUAUAUAAAAAAAAGAAAAGACAUUUUAGUCUUUUCCUAAUCUCUAUUAACGGUAUUUUCAUUUUUAGGACAAAGUGUCCAUUUCAAAAACUAAUAGACCUGCUUAAAAUUUGAACUAAAACUUAAAAGGUAGGGGUAUUUUACCCUAAAAUAUUAUGUUUUUGAUUAGAUUUUAGACCUUAAGCUAUGUGUUGAUAUGUUUUGACACUGAAUAUUGGUUAAUGUGGUGCAUACUAGUUGCAUUAAGAUGAAUAUUGAAAUAACAAAUCGUUUUGGAAGUCCAAAUUUGGAGUUAGGUAGUUUGAAGUGUUGAAAGUUUGCCUUUAGGAGAAAAUGUAUUGAUAAAUUCCUUGAUCUAUCAAUACAUUCAUGGCAGAAUGCCUUGGCAAAGCUUUCUAUCAAUACAUUCUAGAAUGUUUCGAUAGAUUUGGGCCAGGAGGCAUUCUAUAUGAAAACUCUCGAACAUUACAAGAACGUAUUGAUAGAUUUAAAAAGAUGGAUAUUUUGUAAAAAAGGUAUUUAUAGAUUUUCUUGAUCGAUCGAUACAUUUCAAGCAUAAAGCAUUCUUUUAAAUUUACUUCAAUAUGUUGGUACAUGUAUCGAUAGAUCUGAUGAAAAUUCGUGAAAAUGUAUCAAUGCAUGAUUGUAAGUCAGCAAAAAUAAAAGAGACUUUGGGCAUUCCACCCAUUUGAAAACACAAGGAAACAAAAGCUUUCCCUCCUUGCCUUUGAAACCCUAAAACCCCCUAGUAGAUUGGAACUAAUUUGGAGUACUUGGAAGCUUGGAAAUUCAUACUUAAGGUAAGAUCAAGCUUCCUAACAUUUUGAAUUACAUUUUAAUCGGUUCAAAAAUGAGAAUUUGACUAUGGUUUCAUCUCAAUUAUCUUCUCCUUGAGUUGUUGGGAUUUUGGAGUCUUAAGGGCUUAGAAUAGCUGCCAAGGUGAGGAAACCUAACUGUUUUGAACAUUGGAAACAAUGAAACCUAUGAUUUGGAUUGGUAGUUGGAUUUAGAAGCUCAGUUAGGCUUAGAAAAUCUGUGCAUGCUUUGAAAAAAGCUAAAGGUCUAGAAUUUAUGGAUUUGUUAGGUGAAGUGGGAACUUAGAGCUGUUGAUGAACUGAAAUUCUAUGUGGAAUGAUGGACGCAGUGUUUAGCUGAGUGUGAUGUCUUGGCUUCUUCUUGGAAGAAUGUUGCAGCACUAAAACUUUACUAUUUAGCAAUGUGAGUUACGUUAGAGAUAUUCUAGGUCAGUGGGGCAUUUUAUCUAGAAAUUAAGAUUUGAUGUAUGUAUGCACAAAUGUAUGCAUGUGCACUGCCAUGAAACAUGAUUGGUUGAUAAAAUGCUUAGAUGAACUAUGCAUAGGCCGAUGGGUUGAUUGAGCUCUAUUAUAGCUAUGUAUGUUAAUAAUAAAAACCUGUUUGAUAUUGGGUGAGCCAUGUGGUGGUGAUUGAGCUUGACUGUCUUAGUAUUCGCGACUAAAAAGUCUAUUGACCAUGCCUCUGCGCUUGUAUAAAACUUAUAACUUGAUACCUUUUUCUGUGGUAGCGUAUGAUUAUUGCUAAUUCUACGAAAUAAUGUUAUUAGUGAACUAUGGAAAAUCUGAAUUAUGAAAGUUGAUUGAGUUGCAUUCGUAAUUAUGCAUGUAUGAUGCCAAAUGGCUAUGUUAAUGACUUUUGCACAUGUAAUGGCGACACAAUUCCUAAUGGUAAUUGGUUUCGUCUUACGAGUGCUUUCUGGACGAUGAUAUGGUCUAGUUAGAAGGUGUCAUAGUCCCUGUGGUCUUGCUUACCAUUAGCAGUUUAGGCGUUGGACGUGUUUUGUUUACUUGGGAAGACCCUUCUCUUGUUACCAUCUUGAUGAUAACACAAUUUAAUUAGUUGACUUGACUGUCUUUUCAAUCCAAGACAAGUGAGCGAGAAAAACUGCACCAUUGCUCCAUGAAACCUUACAACUCUUAGACGUGAGUCUUGACCUCAUCGAUAGUUCCUAUCCUUGCUACACUCCUUGUGGAAAAAGCCUACCACUCGGCAGAAGAUAUGGUAUGCAUCUCCCUCAUCAUACAUGCACCUUAACAUAGGGUCAUGUAUCUCUUAAAUUGUAGGAUGAAGAUGAAGUCUUCGGUUUACAUUGAUGCUUUCUCAUUGCACCAAUCGAUGUUCCUCUCCACAUUAUUUCAUUCUUCAGUCAAAUUAUUCAUUGUUAACAACUAACGGAAAUGUAAGUGUGGAUUAUUCACGUGACAUGUUAAAUAAUUUUUACCAUGAUAUUUUAUUACUGUUAACAGUACAAUCUGAUAAAAAGAAUAAAAUGAAACCAUUUUAAAAUAUUAUGUGUAAAAUAUAUGAAAAAAGAUUAUAGAUUUAAUUUGAUUACAUUGCUGCCGGACUUACCAAAAUAAUUGUAGAAGCAUGUCUAAUGAUUAUAGGCAUAGCUCUUCAAAGAAAAAUACUGUUUUAUACUUAACAAAAAGAUAAAUGUAAAAUAUAAAAUUGAUCAAUUUUGUUUAGAAUUAUUAUUUUAUAUAUUUUGAAAUUUUGAAAUUUCAAAAUAUAUAAUAUUAUUUAAGUCGUAUUAUAUAUUAUAUAAUUGAAGGGUUAUAUUAAUCGCCUUACUGUGCAGAUAUACUUGGAUGAAUUAUAAAGAUUUCUUUUCUAUUAGUUUCGCUACGUAUCAAUUGGUUGGACACAUUUUAUAAUAAAUAUAAGAGACCAUCAUAGUGCUUCUUCACAAACUAGGACCUUAAUCUCCUUCUCUCCCGCUGAAAUUUUAGGAUGCCAAGAGCAAAACUUCCAUUAUUUUGCCUCUUGGCUUUUGCUUUAUCUCUAUUCCCCGACUGAGGCUCUUCUAUCUGUGGAAAUGUUACCAUCAAAAAGCCCUUUAAGUUAAAAAGCCAACCUCUCAGGUGUGGAAACCGUGAGCUAGUAGUCGAGUGUGACGAUAAUAACCACACCAUUUUCCCCAUGAAAUAUGGGAAAUUCCUUGUCCAAGACAUCUCUUAUAAUAACGGUACAAUUCAACUUUUAGACGAGAGUCUUGGCAAUGAUAACUGCUCCAUUCCUCAUAGGUCCUAUCCUUUGUACAUCCCUUUUGCGAAAAAACAACGUCUCUAUGAAGAUACCACUGAAUUUAGCAUCAUGUAUCUCGUAAAGUGCACGAUGCAGAUCAACUACUCUCGGGUUUAUAUCGAUGCUUUUCGUUGCACCAAUACUCCUUCCUCUCUACCUCCUUACUUGUAUUUUUUGGAUAAAAAAACAGCAAAGUCUGAUUUCCAUGAGUCAUGCAGAAUUGAAGCCCAGGUUCCAAUCAUGGUUGCCAGUAUCACUGGCCUCUCUACUUCUGAUAUUUACACAAAACUGUUGACGGGGUUCCGACUCUCAUGGUGGGAUUAUGCUUAUCAGUUUGGCUGGCUGCGGUGGGACUCAAUUGUUAACGUGUGAGGAUCUUUAAGUAUUCCAAAAUAUUUGGUGCUGUUUAGUUUUUGGAAAUGUUAACUAUUUUUAUUAUAAAUAAACAAAUAAGAUAAAAAUUUUAGUCUUUAUUUCUUUUUAAAAAGUUGACAACAUUUUUAAAUUACUAUUUUAACUAUGUAUAUUAAUUUGUUAUCUAAAAUUUAAACUCGAUAUUUUUAAAGAAUUACAGACUUUAAUUCUAUUAAUGUAGUGUCUACUUCAGACUUCAAUUAUUUCCUUUAAAUAUGUUUAGUGUAAAAUUUAAAGAUAAGGAUUUAAAGCAUUUUUAACAGUAAAAGUGUGCAUUCCAUUUAACUUAUUAAGGAUUAGCGGUUUUGAUGUUCUUUCUUGAAUAUUAAUUAUAGAUUGCUAUGGGUUUUAAAAAAAAAAGGAAGUAUAGAUUGCUAUCCUUGGUCAACCUUUUGCUGGCUCCGCUGUUUAUAUUUAUUGAAAGCAACGCGGCUCUUCUGCUAGGCAUCCCAACAGAGGAUUCAUUGGUAGAUAACAAAGGUGUUCUUUCUUUUCUGAGUUUGUUACUAUUUUGAUUAUUAUUGGAUUUACCUUUACUUUCCUAGGAUCUAUUAACACUUAGUUCUCGAAUCGGUAAAAUCUUAGCAUGAAUCCAGAUUUAUAUUUAUAUAUCAUUAAUUUAACAAUUGUAUUUCGUAAUCUAUUUACUUAUAUCAUGCAUGAUAAAUUUUAAGUUAAUUGAAAAUAUUUAAUUAUUUAAAUGAGAACAUUAAAAUUUUGACCAUUAAAUAUAUAUUAAAAAACCAAUAUUCUUGAGCAAUACGAUAUGGAUUAUCACAUUGAUUUGAAAUUUUAAAUGUAUGAUGAGUACGAAUAGUGUAUGAAAUUAUAAAAAGGUGUAAAACUUAAUUAAUUUUUAACUUGAGCCCUCAAAUUUAUAUAGUUUGUAUGAGUAUUGCAUAUAAAGUAUAUGUAUGUACAAAGAGAUUCCAAUAAAGGAUAAAAUUAUUUAAUAAGAGACGAUAUACUAUAAAUAAUUCAUGAAUAAUAUUGAACUACAUUAAUUGGGUUUUUUUCAGUUAGGUAUUUCUAUGUUGUUACGAUUUUUUUGGUCAAAAUAAAAAUUUUGUCCAAGUUUAUCAUAUUACUUGAAUGAGUACAAUUUUGUCAAUAUACUUUUAAAUUUGUUAAAAGAGAUCAAAAGUUACAAAAUGAACUAAAAUGUACAAUGAUAAAUAUUACACUCGUUAAAAAAAUAAAUAGUAAAUUUGAUCCAUCACCUUAAGUCUAGUGGUGAUAAAUUUAAACCUUAUCUCAAAUUAUUUUAUGAAGUUUGUUUGUGAAAUAUGGCAACAUAUACACAAAUUAAGUUAGUAACUAGCAUGUACAUAUUCUAUAAUCUUGUUGUCCAACUAAUUGGUUUAUAUAUAUGUUUUGUACUCUCUUUUUUUUUUUAUGAGAAACAGGAAUUAUAUUGUUAAGAACUUUUUUGGAGAUAACUUGCUUGAUUGUAUUUGUUAUACACAAAUUAAAAAUGUGGCAUUUGUCUAUGGAUGACAAGAUUGAGAAUUUUCUUCAGAGUCAAAACAAUUUAAUGCCUAUAAGAGACUCUUAUUCUGAAAUAAAAAGAAUAACAGAUGGCUUCAACAAUAAAUUAGGUCAAGGAGGAUAUGGCUCUAUAUUUAAAGGAAAACUUCGAAGUGAUCAACUUGUUGCAAUAAAAUUGUUAAACAAAUCAAAAGCUAACACCCAAGAUUUCACCAAUGAAGUUGCAACUAUUGGAAGGAUUCAUCAUGUUAAUGUGGUAAGACUUAUUGGAUUUUACGUGAAGGGAUCAAAACAAGCUCUUGUAUAUGACUUCAUGAAGAAUGGGUCCUUGGA
rnacentral:lncRNA from 1 species